AGACCCGAAACCCGGUGAUCUAGCCAUGGGCAGGUUGAAGGUUGGGUAACACUAACUGGAGGACCGAACCGACUAAUGUUGAAAAAUUAGCGGAUGACCUGUGGCUGGGGGUGAAAGGCCAAUCAAACCGGGAGAUAGCUGGUUCUCCCCGAAAGCUAUUUAGGUAGCGCCUCGUGAAUUCAUCUCCGGGGGUAGAGCACUGUUUCGGCUAGGGGGCCAUCCCGGCUUACCAACCCGAUGCAAACUGCGAAUACCGGAGAAUGUUAUCACGGGAGACACACGGCGGGUGCUAACGUCCGUCGUGAAGAGGGAAACAACCCAGACCGCCAGCUAAGGUCCCAAAGUCAUGGUUAAGUGGGAAACGAUGUGGGAAGGCCCAGACAGCCAGGAUGUUGGCUUAGAAGCAGCCAUCAUUUAAAGAAAGCGUAAUAGCUCACUGGUCGAGUCGGCCUGCGCGGAAGAUGUAACGGGGCUAAACCAUGCACCGAAGCUGCGGCAGCGACGCUGAUGCGUUGUUGGGUAGGGGAGCGUUCUGUAAGCCUGUGAAGGUGGCCUGUGAGGGUUGCUGGAGGUAUCAGAAGUGCGAAUGCUGACAUAAGUAACGAUAAAGCGGGUGAAAAGCCCGCUCGCCGGAAGACCAAGGGUUCCUGUCCAACGUUAAUCGGGGCAGGGUGAGUCGACCCCUAAGGCGAGGCCGAAAGGCGUAGUCGAUGGGAAACGGGUUAAUAUUCCCGUACUUGGUGUUACUGCGAAGGGGGGACGGAGAAGGCUAUGUUGGCCGGGCGACGGUUGUCCCGGUUUAAGCGUGUAGGUGUGUGUUCCAGGUAAAUCCGGUUCACUUUAACACUGAGGCGUGAUGACGAGGCACUACGGUGCUGAAGCAACAAAUGCCCUGCUUCCAGGAAAAGCCUCUAAGCAUCAGGUAACAUCAAAUC
rnacentral:rRNA from 2 species